CAGCACCUCAAGUGGUCAGGAUGAUUAUUGGGCCUAAAGCAUCCGUAGCCGGCGCUGUAAGUUUUCGGUUAAAUCUGUACGCUCAACGUACAGGCUGCCGGGAAUACUGCAGCGCUAGUGAGUGGGAGAGGUAGACGGUACUCGGUAGGAAGGGGUAAAAUCCUUUGAUCUAUUGAUGACCACCUGUGGCGAAGGCGGUCUACCAGAACACGUCCGACGGUGAGGGAUGAAAGCUGGGGGAGCAAACCGGAUUAGAUACCCGAGUAGUCC
rnacentral:rRNA from 1 species